rnacentral:rRNA from 1 species
GACGAACGCUGGCGGCGUGCUUAACACAUGCAAGUCGAACGGAAAGGCCCAGCUUGCUGGGUGCUCGAGUGGCGAACGGGUGAGUAACACGUGGGUGAUCUGCCCCUAACUUCGGGAUAAGCUUGGGAAACUGGGUCUAAUACCGGAUAGGACAAUCGUUUAGUGUCGGUUGUGGAAAGUGUUUUCGGUUAGGGAUGAGCCCGCGGCCUAUCAGCUUGUUGGUGGGGUAAUGGCCUACCAAGGCGUCGACGGGUAGCCGGCCUGAGAGGGUGGACGGCCACAUUGGGACUGAGAUACGGCCCAGACUCCUACGGGAGGCAGCAGUGGGGAAUAUUGCACAAUGGGCGCAAGCCUGAUGCAGUGACGCCGCGUGGGGGAUGACGGCCUUCGGGUUGUAAACCUCUUUCGACAGGGACGAAGCUUUGGUGACGGUACCUGUAUAAGAAGCACCGGCUAACUACGUGCCAGCCGCCGCGGUAAAAC